ACACUCCUGCGGGAGGCAGCAGUGGGGAAUAUUGGACAAUGGGCGCAAGCCUGAUCCAGCCAUGCCGCGUGAGUGAUGAAGGCCCUAGGGUUGUAAAGCUCUUUCACCGGUGAAGAUAAUGACGGUAACCGGAGAAGAAGCCCCGGCUAACUUCGUGCCAGCAGCCGCGGUAAUACGAAGGGGGCUAGCGUUGUUCGGAUUUACUGGGCGUAAAGCGCACGUAGGCGGACUAUUAAGUCAGGGGUGAAAUCCCGGGGCUCAACCCCGGAACUGCCUUUGAUACUGGUAGUCUUGAGUUCUAGAGAGGUGAGUGGAAUUCCGAGUGCAGAGGUGAAAUUCGUAGAUAUUCGGAGGAACACCAGUGGCGAAGGCGGCUCACUGGCUCGAUACUGACGCUGAGGUGCGAAAGCGUGGGGAGCAAACAGGAUUAGAAACCCGGGUAGUCCCAUGA
rnacentral:rRNA from 1 species